GUACAAGUAAUUGCUUUCUGCUUAGAGAUGUCUAGAUGUUGAUCAUGCCUACUAGUCAACAGAGGCUAGGUUAUUCUACAGCAACAAGUAUCUCCAUAUUUUGGAACAACACAACUUAUUGAUCUACCUCCAUUCAGCGAGAAUAAAAUGCUCUUUCUCUGUUUUGUCCACAUUCUGGUACCCUGUCUAACAGAUCAGCUACUGUCUGCGAUAUUGCCACUGCCAUUGUAGAAGUAAAGGAGAGAAGACUGCAGAAUCUAAAAUGAGCAAUCAAACAUCUCACUUCCACUGACAGGCUUUCGAACAGAACUAGACACUUUACUCCACCUGACAAAAUAUCAAGAAGAACAAUCCCACCAUGAGCCCAGGAGGAGAGAGAACACUAAGAACAUGAGGAAAAGCACAGAAGGUCCCAGCAUCAUGCUGUGUCCUCACAGAUUCUGAGAAAAAUCCCUUAUACUUCUUCAUAUUUCUAUCCUGUAGAAGAAUGUGGUACUCCAUAAGUUGUAUUUGUUGAUGAAUGGAUGGAUCAUAUUUGCCAAGCUAACUAACUAAUUUAAAAUAUCUGGAUAAGAUGGUUUUCUCUUGCACAGUUGUCUUCUGAUUCCAGCUGCCUUCAAAAUGAGUUCUAUUUGGAAAUAUAGUGCCAUUAUAGGAAAUAUCAAUAUGAAUUCAGAAUAUCAUAAAACUAAAAAUUGAGUUCUUUUUUUUGAGAUAGGGUCUUGCUCUGUCACUCAGGGUGUGCAGUCAGGGGUGUGAUCAUGGCUCACUGUAGCCUUGACUGCCUUGGUUCAAGUGAUGCAUCCUCUCACCUCAGCCUCCUGUGUAGCCAGGAUCACAGGCAUGUGCCACCAUGCCAAGCUAAUUUUGUUUUUUAGUUUUUGUAAGGAUGGGGUCUCCCUAUCCUUGGUGGUCUUGAACUCCUGGGCUCAAAGGAUCCUCCUUCUUCAGCUUCCCAAAAUGCCGGGAUUCCAGGCGUGAACAACCAUGCCCGGCCCAAACUGAAUUCUUAUAGCCAAGAAAAAGCAAACAGGUAUCUUGGUUGGCAUCUUUAAUUAUGACUGUCUAUGAACAGUGCUUUAUUGAAGAUGCUAUUUAGUGGUUUUUUUAUUGUUUUGUUUUAUUCUGUUUUGACUCUAGGACACAACAUGGAGAAGUGUCUUUAAGUGAAUGCUUCCAAGUAAAUGCAAGGACAGCCUUUAACCAUUCAGAAGUUCCUAAUAAGAAAACUGCAGCAUCACCAGAACGGAGCACUUCAGAGAGUGGGUUACUUGGCUGAUAGAAAUUUCACCAUUCUCCACAGGAACUCCACACCUCCACUUGCUGAAUUGUGUGCCAAAACCUUCACUAGCUAGUGUUUUUCCAGUGAGACAUAUCAGUUCUUUUUCUAUCUCUACAGCCCAUUCUAUCACAUGAACUAACUGAUUACGAGGUGAGUUGAAAUCAGACAGGCACCUUUCCCUAAGAACUAAUUCAUGUCAAAUUCUGGGUUUUAAUUGGCCAAUAAUUUCCUAGUUAAGGUGAUAGCUAUUAAAUAAAAGUGACACUUUUAAGUUUAAGGUGUUAUCUAUUUUAGAAAAAGAAAACACCUAUUCUCAAAUGGAGAUGUUAAGACUUAAAAGGAAUAGAAGUAUAAUAUGAAAAUGAUAAACAGAGAGGUAGGCAGAUUUAUGUGCACUUUCCUCCUGCAUCAUACCACAUGACUGUCAUCUUUCCCAUAUCUGGGUAACAUCUGGCCUUUCAUUUUUCUUGCAUAAUAUGUUUUGAGCACCUCACAGACUGAUCACAUAGUAAGAUAAAGUUUAAAAUGCUUUUUAUCUUAAUAUUUUCUGUUUGGCAAUAAAUGGUCAGACUAGUUGACAGCUGAAAAUAUUUUUGACUAUACAAAUUGGAUAUUGACAGUUUCUUAUUCUGUGGUCCUAACUGAAGAAAGAAAAUAAGUAUCUCCCUCUCUCCUUUUCUUCUUUCUUUUCUUCCUUAUUUUCCUUCUUCUUUUUUCAUUUCUUUCCUUCCUUCCUCCCUGCUUCCCACCCGUCUCCCUCCCUCUCUCCCCCUUCCUCCCUCCCUCUCUCUCUUUCUCUCUUUUUCUUUCUCUUUCUUUCUUUCUUUCUUUCUUUCUUUCUUUCUUUCUUUCUUUCUUUCUUCCUUCCUUUCUUUCUUCCUUUCUUUCUUUUUCUCUCUCUCUUUCUUUCUUUCUUUCUUCCUUUCUUCCUUUCUUUCUUUUUCUU
rnacentral:lncRNA from 10 species